UCCGCUAUUUAAGUAAUACGUUUUCCUAACCAAUCGAGGAGAGGCUUCGUACGUUAAGUAAGUAGGUAGGAUAACACUCUACGAAAUUGUAACGAUUCUCCCUAUUAUUUUUUCGAUCCUCUCUUCCAUUAAGAAAAGAAAGAAGAAAAGAAAAAAGGAAAAGCACGAACUAGGCAGACAUGUAAUUAAACUUUACUGGUUAGCUUCCACUAGGAUUCGCGGAAGUUACACAAAAGUACGUUCUCCUCCCGAAGAUGAGAAGGAGCAGAGAGCAUCGUGGCAUUCUCAGGACCGACGAGCCGUCGAUCGAUUCGCGAAAUCAAAGAGAAAAAAAAGAGAAGGAUGGAGUAAGGAGUUGGCAAAAGGAAAGAAAAAAUAUCGUACGGCGAGUUUGCGAAAACGCAAACUACCGCGAUGCCGAUGUCCCUACGUACGUAGCGUUGUACGUAGCGUGGUAUAACGUUGCAAAAGUGUAAAGAGAGAGAAAGAUAGAAGAAGAAGUCGUAGUAAGAAGCUUCGAAAGGAUAGACGAGGGAGAAAGAGGAUGGAGACUGGGAGAGUUUUGGUCCAUCGAAAGGUCGAGACUCCAGCCGUUGAAACGCGCCCGCGGCAAGGAAAUGCGCUUAGUGGAUUUGACGCACUUACUCGCGAACGCCCGAUCCUCUCCGCGAGUUUACUUUUGUAUACCAUCGCGACUAGGCGCAUAGUAACGACGCCUUUCCGUAGUCGUUGAAAGCGUACAAAAGGUAAAGUCCUUCUUCGCGAAUGCCUGGCAAACUUUCAAAGUGGAAUAAUAGAUGGUCUCGUUCGUGUACGAAAAGACGAAAGGAGAGGUCCAACUGUGACAAAGCGAUAUAUUUAUCCGCAUAAAAGGUCGAUCUUACUUCUUUCUUUUGUUCUUUCCUAUUUUCUUUUCUUCUCUUUUCUUUUCUUUUCAGUUCCUUACUAUUUCGCGCGCUUUUUCGAUACUUUGCGAACGAAUUUUUUACGCUACUCAAGAAUAUAUUUAAAACUUUUCGAAAAGACGAUUACGUUCUACGCCGAUAGAUAAAUUUAUUUAUAAAUAUACUAUCGAUAUAUAACUGUAUAAAAGUAUCGAAAAUAUAUUUCAGAGCUUCAGUCGAAGGGAAAUGAUCUUUAACCGGAGAGUACAAUUUUCUUUUUGUUUCUUUUUUUUUCUCUCUUUUCCUUUUCCUUUUCCUUCUCCUUUUUUUUUUUUUUUUUUAAAGGUUGUAACCUUUCGAAGCUAGCAAAUACGAGUUCCUCCAUCCCGUAUGCCAGGGGGAGAUUCGAGAGACGAAGUUUCUUAACUCGCGACCUCCCGGUAACUACGAGUUGCGAACUAAAAACUUGUUCCGCGGAAUUACCUCGUAAGUCGCAACUACGUGAAGUCGAAAGAGAGAGAGAGAGAGAGAGAGAGAGAGAGAGAGAGAGAAAGAGAGAGAGAGAGAAGGUCUGAAGAAAUUUUCACGUCUGGUGCAUCGCCGCGCUCGAAGCAUUAUCAAGUCGUUACACUCUACGUACGAACUCUCUCCAUCUCUCUGUCUCUCAUUCUUGAUCGUCAAGUUCGAUGUCUUCUUCGAAUUAUCCUCUACUAGCUACGAUGACGUAGGCGCGCACAGCACGACCGAAUUCGUAACUAUCUCGAUCGGGGAGAAAAAAGAGAAGAAAAGAAAAGAAAAGAAAAGAAAGAAGAAGAAAAACAUAAAAGAACAACUUUGCAAACGAUAAACUAUUCUCGAAAGUUACGAUCGAUUUACCUCUCCUCUCCGGAAGUUAAAUUGCCUGGAAGUGACGACUUAAUCGUUUUCUCUCGCGACACGAGACGAAAUUCAGGAAAAUUCUUGGAGACGUUUUCCCCUUUGAACGAGAUUACAACUGCAGAUCAUACUGCGUACUACAUAAAUACUACAUAUAUGUAUGUAUAUAUAAAAGUGGAUAGAUUUAUCAUCGUAACAAUUUAGUUGGUACUUCUGUCGCGAGUCUCCAACGUUUCGUUUUAAACAAGAUAUAUACCAACCAAGGUUCAAUCGACCAACUGUGCGAGAGCUUGCGAUCGAGAAAAUUGCAGUAAAUGGGAGGUCAUAGCGUAAAGUCGUUUCCACUUUUCAGAAUUUUCCGGCAUUUCUUCGAAGAAAUACAGAAACACGUGAUGUUGCUCGUUCAUCUAUAGCUAUAUAUAGAUAUACAUACACAUAUAUAUGUAUAAGUCUACGAGUAUACAUAUACACGAUCACGUACACGAUUGUACGCUUGUAUGCGCGUAGCGAAGCGUUUAAUCAAGUUUACUACGAACGAAGUACAAUGUUAGUAUCUUCCUUUUCUCGAGCUAUACGUUUCGCGGCCUCUGCAUCGCUUUGUGCUUUUCCUCUUUCUCCGUUUCCACUCGACUGACUUCACCCUCUCUUUUCUUCUUCGCAAAGUAAUUCUCUCUGUCUCUCUCUCUCUCUCUCUCUCUCUCUCUCUCUCUCUCUCUCGAAACUCUCCCGCGAGCGAGCAUGUGCGCAAUAUCGCUGAUAAAAAGAUUCAUCGUACCACGAAAAGCAAAUCGAAUGCGCAAGAAGUCGCACAGAAAUGACGAAUCUGCUGGUGACUUUUCCGGAUGCAACGUUUGGUUCUCGUCUUGAUUGCUUACGCGCUCGAUCGCGUUGCUCCGAUUUUUUUAUUCCGCGCGGCGAGUAAAAAAAGUUUUACUAUUUUCGACACGCACGUAAAUAUUUUCAUAUGUUUUUAUUUCGAGAGAACUUU